AGAACGAACGCUGGCGGCAUGCCUAAUACAUGCAAGUCGAACGAAUGCCCUUCGGGGUGUUAGUGGCGCACGGGUGCGUAACGCGUGGGAAUCUGCCCUUGGGUUCGGAAUAACAGUUGGAAACGACUGCUAAUACCGGAUGAUGACGAAAGUCCAAAG
rnacentral:rRNA from 1 species